UACAAGUGUCACUGCAGGAGAGGUUUCAUUGGAACAAACUGCGAGAUAAAUGUUAAUGAAUGCUGGCCAGAUCCUUGUCUUCAUGGAAGAUGUAUAGAUCUCAUUGAUGGAUAUCAAUGCUCUUGUGAAGCAGGAUGGACCAGCUCAAGAUGUGAGAUAAAUAUUAAUGAAUGUGAAUCCAUUCCCUGCAUUAACGGAGGUUCUUGUCAAGAUUUGGUUGAUGAAUUUGCUUGUAUUUGCCUGGCUGGAUACACUGGCAAGUUCUGUGAACUUGAUAUUGAUGUUUGCAGUGAACCUACACUGAGCUCUGUUCUCUGUUACAAUGGAGGUGUAUGUGUUGAUGGGCCUGGAAGAACUUUUCAUUGCAGGUUAGUAAGAAUACAGUCAUUUAACUGCUGUAGUUAAUAGAUAUUCAUGUGCUAAGAUUUCAGAGCAGUGUUGCUAUA